rnacentral:tRNA from 1 species
GCUGUGGCCCAGUGGUACAGGCAUCUACUUUGCAUGCAGAAGAUCCCAGGUUCCACCCCUGGCAUCACCA